rnacentral:rRNA from 1 species
GACGAACGCUGGCGGCGUGCUUAACACAUGCAAGUCGAACGGAAAGGCCCUGCUUUUGUGGGGUGCUCGAGUGGCGAAAGGGUGAGUAACACGUGAGUAACCUGCCCUUGACUUUGGGAUAACUUCAGGAAACUGGGGCUAAUACCGGAUAGGAGCUCCUGCUGCAUGGUGGGGGUUGGAAAGUUUCGGCGGUUGGGGAUGGACUCGCGGCUUAUCAGCUUGUUGGUGGGGUAGUGGCUUACCAAGGCUUUGACGGGUAGCCGGCCUGAGAGGGUGACCGGCCACAUUGGGCCUGAGAUACGGCCCAGACUCCUACGGGAGGCAGCAGUGGGGAAUAUUGCACAAUGGGCGGAAGCCUGAUGCAGCAACUCCGCGUGCGGGAUGACGGCCUUCGGGUUGUAAACCGCUUUCGCCUGUGACGAAGCGUGAUUGACGGUAAUGGGUAAAGAAGCACCGGCUAACUACGUG